ensembl:lncRNA
UUAACUUCAGAUCAAACUGGGCCGUACGUUGCUCCUGGACUGAAAUUCAGUGUGCGUGUGUGCGUGUGUGUGUGUGUCCCCCUCAGGUGAAGCUAUGCUGGGACGAUCUGACGGCUGCUCACUGCGUCCAAUCAGCAGCCACUCAAAGCGCCUCCAGUCCCAUCCAGCUGGAUUUCCCUCAGGCUCAGGGAGCUCAGAUGGAUGCGUGUUUUCCUCCAGGAAGCCUUCCUACACGUCCAGAAUCUGAUAGUCCUGAUCCACAGCUGGACCCACUGCUUGAACCACCGCUUGAACCAGAGCUAAGACCACAGCUGGAACAACAGCUUGAAACACAGCUGGGACCACAGCUGGGACCACAACUAGGACAACAGCUGGGACCACAGCUGGAACAACAGCUGGGACCACAACGAGGACAACAGCUGGGACCACAACUAGGACAAGAGCUUGGACCACAGCUGGGCAUCGUUCUCUCCCAACAGGCCAAGAUGUUACUCCAGCAGAUGCAGACCUUUGGCGAUCUACUGAAGAGUAGAAAACUGAGUCUUGAAAAGCAAACAGAGGGUUUGUGUCACCUCAGUGAAACCUUGGACUCGUUGGUAAAAAGUUUCCUCCUGACGAAUAAGGAGCUACGCCGCCUGAAGAAGCAGCACAGAGCAGACCUGGGUUGUCUUGACCCCACACGGACAUUGAAGGCACAGAUCUACUACUCUGUGUAUCUCAUGAGGAAGCUGAAGAAGUAUCAGGAGCAGCUCUAUGAGACUCCGCCCCCCUCCUUCCCUGUUCAGCAUGUGUGCUCGUCCACUCCACGAACCCCCCCACAGUUUCCAGCUGAUCCUGGUGAGAUGAAGGAACUGAGGUCAACCAGAGAAGGAAGUGACAACGACUACAAACACACACUCACCUCUCACUUCCUCCCACCUCUGAGCGAUGCUCACACACACAUGGAUCAUGUCCGAUUGUUCCGCUGUGAUUCCAUUGAGUCCAUCUCUGCUGAGGAAAGCUCCAGGAAUCCUCCGUCUGUUUUUCACCCGCCCACAAACGCCAGCACGGCUCAGCAGGAGAAAAGUGGGAGGAGCCGCAGCCUCUACUGCUCGUCACCGCAGCGUGUCACAUGCAGCAGGAUGAGAUCCAAUGUUCAGCCUCCUGCUCUGAUGUCCAGAUCCACUCAGACCUCAGCAGCAGUGGAGAGGAGCAGCCGGACGCCACAGCACCGUGAGAACCUUCUUUAUUCAACCAGUUCAGAGUUCUCAGUGAGAGAAACGUCUCUGAUUUAUAUCAACUAAACAGCUUCCUCACAUUCACAUCAGGGAAAGGAAACCAGGAGAGACCCUGGUUAUGAUGAACAUGGCAAAAAUCAUCAUGAAAUCUGGUGAAAAGAGGUUAAAAGUGACAAUAAUGGGUCAACAUAUAAACAUUAGGUGUAAAAGUGGUAGAAAGUGUUUAUAAGUGCUGAACAUGUCUGGAAAGUGGAAAAAAUGUGUAGAAAAGACAUUAAAAUGUGAUGUAGAAGUGUCAGAAAUGGGAGAAAUGUAGCAAAUAUAAAUUAAAAGGAGCAAAAAUAUGGAAAGAAAAAGUGAUGAAAAUAGGUUAAAAUAUGGUGAGUUUGGUGAAGUUACAGAAAAAUGAUAAAAAUAAGCAAAAAUGGGCUGAAAUUGUUCAAAAGAUAUUCACACACACACACACACUUUCUUCUGACUGAGCACUCACUGAAUGGAACUCCUAACCUGCUUUAUGAUUGGCAGACUGUUGCAGCGACUCCGCCCCUCAUCGGGUCAGACCAGUGAAGAGCCAACACAACCGUGCUCUUUUUCUACGCCAGUUUCUGCCAGGGUGUCCACCUCAAAAACUGUAAGUACACACACACACACACAAUAUACAAAAUAACUCCACAAACACACAAAACAAC